GAUGAACGCUAGCGGCAGGCCUAACACAUGCAAGUCGAGGGGUAGAGGAGGCUUGCUUCCUUGAGACCGGCGCACGGGUGCGUAACGCGUAUGCAAUCUACCUUGUACAGAGGGAUAGCCCAGAGAAAUUUGGAUUAAUACCUCAUGGUAUUAUUGAAUGGCAUCAUUUGGUAAUUAAAGUUCCAACGGUACAAGAUGAGCAUGCGUCCUAUUAGCUAGAUGGUAAGGUAACGGCUUACCAUGGCUACGAUAGGUAGGGGUCCUGAGAGGGAGAUCCCCCACACUGGUACUGAGACACGGACCAGACUCCUACGGGAGGCAGCAGUGAGGAAUAUUGGACAAUGGGCGCAAGCCUGAUCCAGCCAUGCCGCGUGCAGGAAGACGCAUCUAUGGUGUGUAAACUGCUUUUGUACGGGAAGAAACACUCCCUCGUGAGGGAGCUUGACGGUACCGUAAGAAUAAGGAUCGGCUAACUCCGUGCCAGCCGCCGCCGUAAUAC
rnacentral:rRNA from 1 species